AUGGCGUGGAAAAAUUUAACUUUCCAGUCACUGAAAGCUCAUCUCUGGGGUUUGAUCCAACACAAAAAUGGGAGCCAGAUAAAGAGCAGCACUGAGCUAACAGGUUAUGCUUGGUACAUCUAUCAGUGGAAUUUAGCAAGGCUGAAUAGGACAAUGUGUCCUGGGUUGACAAGAGCAACAAUGCACUGAAAAAAGAGAAGGCUUCCCCCAGCAUCCACCCUCACCUCUUGUGGUGGGGUAAGAGAGGAUGUGCUGGUGAGACACAGGAGCAAAGGAGUUUGCUACAAAAGCAGGCUGCUAACCCAGAGAUAAAAAUAGUAUCUGUGCUGUAUGUCGUCUAAAGUGAAACUGUUGAGCACCCCUGCAUCAAGAUGUUUAAUUUUAUCUCAGAUGUACAGUAGUCUGUGCCCUCCAAGACACGUAAAUACACCAUGAAAAUGUAUUUAAUUUUGAUGCCACCAGACAGACUUCUCUCCUAAAGGCUGGGUUCCUGGGCUGUGCUGUAAAGAAAAAGAGAGGAAGAAAGGAGAUUUAAAAACCACUUUUUUUUUUAGGACUGCUCUCCUGUGAAACUUUAAGGGAUUAUAAACCACAUCAGUAGCUACUGAAAUCUUUAGUCAUGAGUAUUUUUUACAGAAAAUGUCAGAAAAGCAUCACAGAAUGUGUUAACUGUAACUUGCUUUUACCGCCUGAUCCUGAGCAUACAUGCAAGUGUUAAAAAAUGAGUAUUUUAAAAGAAAACUUGGCAGCAGAACAUCCAGCAUUUUCAGGAGAAAAUGUGCAUUUCUUUUGAUUUGUAUCAAGUGUCAGCAGGGAGGGAUAAUCAGAAAGUGCCAUUACCACUCAAAAUCAUAUCAUACAUAAUUCUGUUAUAAAUAAUUCUCAGCAGAUAUGACUAAUUUAGCACACUUUGGCAUUACCUGUCGGUGCUGGUGGAUAUGCUUGCAGCUGUAAUUUCAGGUCUUUAAUGUUUAUUAUGUUACUGUCUCUUUUGGUAUUAUUAAAUCUUGCCCGAU
rnacentral:lncRNA from 1 species